rnacentral:miRNA from 1 species
UGGAGUUUCAGAUAAACAAUUAACAAUUUUUUAGUAUAAGUAUGUCCUGUGCAAUAUUUGGGACACAUUUAUGCUAAAAAAAUUAUUAUUUAUCUAAAAUUCCA